rnacentral:sRNA from 1 species
UCAUUUUGUUAUGUGAGGAAUGGCACUGGGGAGAUUAUAAAGUUAACGUUAAAAUACCUUGAUGUUUUUUUCUUUUUAAAAAUAGGUCAUUUUAUGCCACCUGAAAAAGUACAUAAAGAACUCUUUAAAGACUGGAAUAUUCCAUUUAAGCAGCCAUCAUAUCCAUCAGUGAAACGUUAUAAUCGGAAUCGGACACUAACACAAAAGCUACGGAUGGAGGAGCGAUUUAAAAAGAAAGAAAGAUUACUCAGGAAGAAAUUAGCUAAAAAAGGAAUUGAUUAUGAUUUUCCUUCUUUGAUUUUACAGAAAACGGAAAGUAUUUCAAAAACUAAUCGUCAGACAUCUACAAAAGGCCAGGUUUUACGUAAGAAGAAGAAAAAAGUUUCAGGUACUCUUGACACUCCUGAGAAGACUGUGGAUAGCCAGGGCCCCACACCAGUUUGUACACCAACAUUUUUGGAGAGGCGAAAAUCUGAAGUGGCUGAACUGAAUGAUGAUGAUAAAGAUGAUGAAAUAGUUUUCAAACAGCCCAUAUCCAGUGUAAAAGAAGAAAUACAAGAGACUCAAACACCUACACAUUCACGGAAAAAAAGACGAAGAAAAAGCAAUCAGUGAUUUUCAAUGUAUUAUAUUUCUUCUGAAAAAUAUAAUAUUUUUAUGAGA